rnacentral:rRNA from 1 species
GAUGAACGCUGGCGGCGUGCCUAAUACAUGCAAGUCGAGCGAACAGACGAGGAGCUUGCUCCUCUGACGUUAGCGGCGGACGGGUGAGUAGCACGUGGAUAACCUACCUAUAAGACUGGGAUAACUUCGGGAAACCGGAGCUAAUACCGGAUAAUAUAUUGAACCGCAUGGUUCAAUAGUGAAAGACGGUUUUGCUGUCACUUAUAGAUGGAUCCGCGCCGCAUUAGCUAGUUGGUAAGGUAACGGCUUACCAAGGCAACGAUGCGUAGCCGACCUGAGAGGGUGAUCGGCCACACUGGAACUGAGACACGGUCCAGACUCCUACGGGAGGCAGCAGUAGGGAAUCUUCCGCAAUGGGCGAAAGCCUGACGGAGCAACGCCGCGUGAGUGAUGAAGGUCUUCGGAUCGUAAAACUCUGUUAUUAGGGAAGAACAAAUGUGUAAGUAAAUAUGCACGUCUUGACGGUACCUAAUCAGAAAGCCACGGCUAACUACGUG